GAUGAACGCUGGCGGCGUGCCUAAUACAUGCAAGUCGAGCGAACAGACGAGGAGCUUGCUCCUCUUACGUUAGCGGCGGACGGGUGAGUAACACGUGGAUAACCUACCUAUAAGACCGGGAUAACUUCGGGAAACCGGAGCUAAUACCGGAUAAUAUAUUGAACCGCAUGGUUCAAUAGUGAAAGACGGUUUUGCUGUCACUUAUAGAUGGAUCCGCGCCGCAUUAGCUAGUUGGUAAGGUAACGGCUUACCAAGGCAACGAUGCGUAGCCGACCUGAGAGGGUGAUCGGCCACACUGGAACUGAGACACGGUCCAGACUCCUACGGGAGGCAGCAGUAGGGAAUCUUCCGCAAUGGGCGAAAGCCUGACGGAGCAACGCCGCGUGAGUGAUGAAGGUCUUCGGAUCGUAAAACUCUGUUAUUAGGGAAGAACAAAUGUGUAAGUAACUAUGCACGUCUUGACGGUACCUAAUCAGAAAGCCACGGCUAACUACGUG
rnacentral:rRNA from 1 species